UAACCUGCCCUGGAGUGGGGAAUAACAGCUGGAAGCAGCUGCUAAUACCGCAUAAUGCAGUUGGGCCGCAUGGCUCUGACUGCCAAAGAUUUAUCGCUCUGGGAUGGACUCGCGUCUGAUUAGCUAGUUGGUGGGGCAACGGCCCACCAAGGCGACGAUCAGUAGCCGGACUGAGAGGUUGGCCGGCCACAUUGGGACUGAGACACGGCCCAGACUCCUACGGAAGGCAGCAG
rnacentral:rRNA from 1 species